CGGUAAUACGGAGGAUCCAAGCGUUAUCCGGAAUCAUUGGGUUUAAAGGGUCCGUAGGCGGUCAAGUAAGUCAGUGGUGAAAGCCCAUCGCUCAACGGUGGAACGGCCAUUGAUGCUGCUUGACUUGAAUUAUUAGGAAGUAACUAGAAUAUGUAGUGUAGCGGUGAAAUGCUUAGAGAUUACAUGGAAUACCAAUUGCGAAGGCAGGUUACUACUAAUUGAUUGACGCUGAUGGACGAAAGCGUGGGUAGCGAACAGGAUUAGAUACCCUGGUAGUCCACGCCGUAAACGAUGGAUACUAGCUGUUGGGAGCAAACUCAGUGGCUAAGCGAAAGUGAUAAGUAUCCCACCUGGGGAGUACGUUCGCAAGAAUGAA
rnacentral:rRNA from 1 species